rnacentral:rRNA from 1 species
AGUGAACGCUGGCGGUAGGCCUAACACAUGCCAGUCGAACGGCAGCACAGUAAGAGCUUGCUCUUACGGGUGGCGAGUGGCGGACGGGUGAGGAAUACAUCGGAAUCUACUUUUUCGUGGGGGAUAACGUAGGGAAACUUACGCUAAUACCGCAUACGACCUACGGGUGAAAGCAGGGGAUCUUCGGACCUUGCGCGAUUGAAUGAGCCGAUGUCGGAUUAGCUAGUUGGCGGGGUAAAGGCCCACCAAGGCGACGAUCCGUAGCUGGUCUGAGAGGAUGAUCGGCCACACUGGAACUGAGACACGGUCCAGACUCCUACGGGAGGCAGCAGUGGGGAAUAUUGGACAAUGGGCGCAAGCCUGAUCCAGCCAUACCGCGUGGGUGAAGAAGGCCUUCGGGUUGUAGAGCCCUUUUGUUGGGAAAGAAAAGCAGCAGGUUAAUACCCCGCUGUUCUGACGGUACCCAAAGAAUAAGCACCGGCUAACUUCGUG